AAGAACUGAACCUGGAAUUUUUUUGAUGCUGCCAACCUUGAAGAAUAUCGAAGGCAGAGAUGGUGAUGAUAUUAACUGUGAAUGUAAAAUAUCGAACCAACCAGAUGGAGACCACCAAAGUAACCAUGAAAAGCAAUAAUGUGUCUUGCGUCAAUUAAGGUUCUCCUCAGAAAAGAAAUGAUUGGCGCUGUGAUCAAUAUCGUUGGAUCAACUGUGGUGUCCGACGAUGGCCGAGAAUUAAUCCGAAGCUGAGGAAAUUUCACCAUAAAAUCAAAACUUGUUCAAGUCCAGACAACUUCAUAAGGCACAGUUAUAGACUGCUAGAGCCUUCUUGUGAAAUGGUUCUGAUACACUAUAUUGGAAAUGAGAGGGAAUUCCAUGCACUUCCUCAUGGUGACAGAAAGAGAAAUUUGCUAAGACCACAUGUACGGACAAUGCCUUCAGUAAUAAGAAAGAUUUCAGAUACAAGUGCUAAGGCCUCAAAAAUCUAUAAAGACCUUUGUAAUGACCCUGUAACCAGCUCAGCUCAUAUGCCUGCAGCUCAGCCACGAAACCUGGAGCAGGUAAGAAAGAAACAAGCUUGAAAGACAACGUUCACAAAUCAGUCGUGAUGAUUUGUACAGUGUUUUUGAAUUAACAGAACGCCUUGAAGGCUUCAUCCAUGAUAUCUCUCUCUCUCCUACAGUGAUUGUUGUUAUGGGCCUACAGGAUAUUUCGUCUGAAAUUGGGAAAAUAAUAUCACUGAAGACAGAUUUACCUAUGCUUUUUUCAUAUGACACAACUUUUCAACUUGGAGACUUCUUCCUAUCUACUUUACUAUUUCAAAAUGUGCUUUUCGCUGAAUCACCACUGAUUCCUGUAAUGUUCAAGAUGCAUGACAGCAGGCGAGAGGACAAUCACAGGAGACCCUUUCAAAGCAGUGUCCAUUGCUCAAUUCAGAAAAAGUUGUCCUAGUGUCUGACAGAGAAAAAGGAAUUGAAAAGGCUUUGGAUCAUGUUUUGCUCAAGAGCCACAGAGUGGUGUGCUGGAAUCACAUCCGCAGAGACAUCGUGGCCAGUUCAGAGGAUACCAAGGUAUACCUUGCUGACUUUUUUGAUCUUCUGAGGUCAAAUUCUGAGCAAGACUACACAUUCAAAUUUGAUUAACUCAGUACAGGUUGGAGCAAAGCAUUCUUGGACUACUUUAAGGAAAAACUGCACCAAGCAAUAAUAACUCAUGCUGGGGCCUGGAUUCUAAAGAGACUGAACAUAUAUAAAGAAAAAUGUGGAAUCACCUCAAAUGUCUCUGAGAGUUUUCAUGCAGCAUUAAAAAGACUUUCACAAUGGAAAGAAAUGACGAUGGAAGCAAUGGUGUUAUCCUUAUAUGCAAUGCAAAAUUUUUACUGGAGAGAAACUUUGUGUGGACUAUGUAACACUGGAAGCUUGCAUUUGCAGCCUCAGUUUAUCAGACACUCAAGAUCGCCAGAACAUACAGUCUUUCCUUAUAUAGCUUGUGAUCCAUCACAAAUCUUGGAUCUUGUACAAAGGGGAGAACUUCCGUGGCCUAAGAAAGAUGAAAACUAUGAGAAGGCACCAUCAGUUUGUCAAAUGGUACUAGCGGGCUUUACGGUACUGAACAAUUUAAUAGCUUGGUGUAUUUGUGGUGAGGGGUAGUAAAGGGAAAGCAUUAUGUUGUCCGCCUUUUUCCGAAAGAGAGCUGCUCUUGCCCAUCAUCCAGGACUUGCUACCAUAUUAUAGCUGCCAAAAAAUCUGUCGGUAUGCCACCAGAACCAGGGAAGCCUUGCCGGUUGCAGCUCACACAGUUGAAGCAAAAUAAAAGGCAGAAGAGUAGCUCAGGAAGAAAGUUCUCCAGACUGAAGGAGAAGAUAACUGUAGUUCCAGCAUCUGAUUCAGUGCAGGCUGCUGAGGAGUUGGGCUCCUUAAAAACAGAUCACUGACUGACUAUGAGAGACCUGGAAAGCACUCAACCUCAGAUGACCUCCACUCCAAAAAGUGGGAAAGAGGAUUUGACAGUGACCAAUAUUGAUUCUUUUGAUAGAAGCCCCAUAUUCUCAACGCAAAGUGAGAAGUGUUUGGGCAAAUCAAUGAUUUCUACAUCAGUUCCCCCAUGGCACAACUGUACCUUCAACACACUCAGUCUACAAACCGAGUAACUUGUGGGUUCAGUUGCCAACAUCUGUGUGUAUGGUUAUGACAUAGACACACUGAAAGGAUCAAACUGGAUAAAUGACCACAUAAUAGAUGCCUUUCUUGCCUCCAGGGUGAUCAUGACCAAAGAGCUAGGUCACGAUGGAACAAUUUUCCCAUUUAGUUGCCUCUUCAUUCAGGAGGAAUGGGUGUGGAGUGAACCCACCGCA